CGCUAUCUACAGGCUUAACACAUGCAAGUCGAGGGGCAUCAGGAAGAAAGCUUGCUUUCUUUGCUGGCGACCGGCGCACGGGUGAGUAACACGUAUCCAACCUGCCCUUUACUCGGGGAUAGCCUUUCGAAAGAAAGAUUAAUACCCGAUGGCAUAAUGAUUCCGCAUGGUUUCAUUAUUAAAGGAUUCCGGUAAAGGAUGGGGAUGCGUUCCAUUAGGUUGUUGGUGAGGUAACGGCUCACCAAGCCUUCGAUGGAUAGGGGUUCUGAGAGGAAGGUCCCCCACAUUGGAACUGAGACACGGUCCAAACUCCUACGGGAGGCAGCAGUGAGGAAUAUUGGUCAAUGGGCGCUAGCCUGAACCAGCCAAGUAGCGUGAAGGAUGAAGGCUCUAUGGGUCGUAAACUUCUUUUAUAUAAGAAUAAAGUGCAGUAUGUAUACUGUUUUGUAUGUAUUAUAUGAAUAAGGAUCGGCUAACUCCGUGCCAGCAGCCGCGGUAAUACGGAGGAUCCGAGCGUUAUCCGGAUUUAUUGGGUUUAAAGGGAGCGUACGUGGACUGGUAAGUCAGUUGUGAAAGUUUGCGGCUCAACCGUAAAAUUGCAGUUGAUACUGUCAGUCUUGAGUACAGUAGAGGUGGGCGGAAUUCGUGGUGUAGCGGUGAAAUGCUUAGAUAUCACGAAGAACUCCGAUUGCGAAGGCAGCUCACUGGACUGCAACUGACACUGAUGCUCGAAAGUGUGGGUAUCAAACAGGAUUAGAUACCCUGGUAGUCCACACAGUAAACGAUGAAUACUCGCUGUUUGCGAUAUACAGUAAGCGGCCAAGCGAAAGCAUUAAGUAUUCCACCUGGGGAGUACGCCGGCAACGGUGAAACUCAAAGGAAUUGACGGGGGCCCGCACAAGCGGAGGAACAUGUGGUUUAAUUCGAUGAUACGCGAGGAACCUUACCCGGGCUUAAAUUGCAGUGGAAUGAUGUGGAAACAUGUCAGUGAGCAAUCACCGCUGUGAAGGUGCUGCAUGGUUGUCGUCAGCUCGUGCCGUGAGGUGUCGGCUUAAGUGCCAUAACGAGCGCAACCCUUAUCUUUAGUUACUAACAGGUUAUGCUGAGGACUCUAGAGAGACUGCCGUCGUAAGAUGUGAGGAAGGUGGGGAUGACGUCAAAUCAGCACGGCCCUUACGUCCGGGGCUACACACGUGUUACAAUGGGGGGUACAGAAGGCAGCUAGCGGGUGACCGUAUGCUAAUCCCAAAAGCCUCUCUCAGUUCGGAUCGAAGUCUGCAACCCGACUUCGUGAAGCUGGAUUCGCUAGUAAUCGCGCAUCAGCCACGGCGCGGUGAAUACGUUCCCGGGCCUUGUACACACCGCCCGUCAAGCCAUGGGAGCCGGGGGUACCUGAAGUACGUAACCGCAAGGAUCGUCCUAGGGUAAAACUGGUGACUGGG
rnacentral:rRNA from 1 species